rnacentral:rRNA from 1 species
AGAGUUUUGAUCCUGGCUCAGAAUGAACGUUGGCGGCGUGGAUUAGGCAUGCAAGUCGGACGGGCCGCAAGGCCAGUGGCGUAAGGGUGAGUAAGGCGACGGCAAUCAUCCCCACGGUUGGGUAUAGCCGCGAGAAAUCGCGGGUAAUCCCCAGCGACGCACGGCGUCGGCAUCGACGCCCUGCCAAAGGCUCGCCGCCGUGGGACGAGCCGUCGUGGUAUUAGGUUGUUGGCGGGGUAACGGCCCACCAAGCCUGCGAUGCCUACCGGGCGUGCGAGCGUGGCCCGGCACACUGGGACUGAGACACUGCCCAGACUCCUACGGGAGGCUGCAGUCGAGAAUCUUCGGCAAUGGGCGCAAGCCUGACCGAGCGACGCCGCGUGGAGGACGAAGGCCUUCGGGUUGUAAACUCCUGUCGAGGGGAAGGAAGGGCCCGCGAGGGCCUUGACCGCUCCCUGGAGGAAGCACGGGCUAAGUUCGUGCCAGCAGCCGCGGUAAGACGAACCGUGCGAACGUUAUUCGGAAUCACUGGGCUUAAAGCGCGUGUAGGCGGGUCGGUGCGUCGGCCGUUGAAAUCCCCCGGCUCAACCGGGGAAGUG